rnacentral:rRNA from 1 species
AGUGAACGCUGGCGGUAGGCCUAACACAUGCAGGUCGAACGGCAGCACAGUAAGAGCUUGCUCUUACGGGUGGCGAGUGGCGGACGGGUGAGGAAUACAUCGGAAUCUACUUUUUCGUGGGGGAUAACGUAGGGAAACUUACGCUAAUACCGCAUACGACCUACGGUUGAAAGCAGGGGAUCUUCGGACCUUGUGCGAUUGAAUGAGCCGAUGUCGGAUUAGCUAGUUGGGGGGGUAAAGGCCCACCAAGGCGACGAUCCGUAGCUGGUCUGAGAGGAUGAUCAGCCACACUGGAACUGAGACACGGUCCAGACUCCUACGGGAGGCAGCAGUGGGGAAUAUUGGACAAUGGGCGCAAGCCUGAUCCAGCCAUACCGCGUGGGUGAAGAAGGCCUUCGGGUUGUAAAGCCCUUUUGUUGGGAAAGAAAAGCAUCAGGUUAAUACCCCGCUGUUCUGACGGUACCCAAAGAAUAAGCACCGGCUAACUUCGUG